rnacentral:rRNA from 1 species
UACGUAGGGUGCGAGCGUUGUCCGGAGUUACUGGGCGUAAAGCGCACGCAGGCGGUCUUUUAAGUUUGGAGUGACAGUUGGUGGCUUAACUGCCAAAGUGCUUCGAAAACUGAGAGACUUGAGGGCUUCAGAGGGACACGGAAUUCCGGGUGGAGUGGUGAAAUGCGUAGAUAUCCGGAGGAACACCAAUGGCGAAGGCAGUGUCCUGGGAAGUACCUGACGCUCAGGUGCGAAAGCUAGGGGAGCGAACAGG